rnacentral:rRNA from 1 species
AUUGAACGCUGGCGGCAGGCCUAAUACAUGCAAGUCGGGCGAACAGCGGACGGGUGAGUGAUGUAUGGAGACAUGGCUGACGGAGGGGGAAAAGGACUGGAAACGGUAGCAACUCCCGCAUAACAUCCGUUGAACCCAGAUGGAAUUAGCUUGUCGGUAAGGUAAAGGCUUACCUAGGCGACGAUCCCUAGCUGUUCUGAGAGGAUGAUCAGCCACACUGGGACUGAGACACGGCCCAGACUCCUACGGGAGGCAGCAGUGGGGAAUAUUGCACAAUGGGCGCAAGCCUGAUGCAGCCAUGCCGCGUGUAUGAAGAAGGCCUUCGGGUUGUAAAGUACUUUCAGUCGGGAGGCGUUACCGACAGAAUAAGCACCGGCUAACUCCGUGCCAGCAGCCGCGGUAAUUC